rnacentral:tRNA from 1 species
GGUUUCGUAGUGUAGUGGUUAGCACUCCAGACUUUGAAUCUGGCGACCUGGGUUCGAAUCCCGGCGAAACCU